rnacentral:rRNA from 1 species
GACUACGGGUGGCAGCAGUGGGGGAUAUUGGACAAUGGGGGAAACCCUGAUCCAGCGACGCCGCGUGAGUGAAGAAGUAUUUCGGUAUGUAAAGCUCUGUCAGCAGGGAAGAAAGAAAUGACGGUACCUGACCAAGAAGCCCCGGCUAACUACGUGCCAGCAGCCGCGGUAAUACGUAGGGGGCAAGCGUUAUCCGGAAUGACUGGGUGUAAAGGGAGCGUAGACGGUGAUGCAAGUCUGGAGUGAAAGGCGGGGGCCCAACCCCCGGACUGCUCUGGAAACUGUGUAACUUGAGUGCAGGAGAGGUAAGCGGAAUUCCUAGUGUAGCGGUGAAAUGCGUAGAUAUUAGGAGGAACACCAGUGGCGAAGGCGGCUUACUGGACUGUAACUGACGUUGAGGCUCGAAAGCGUGGGGAGCAAACAGGAUUAGAUACCCCGGUAGUC